AGUAAGCUUCUCUGUUUAGUACCCAGAACUGGCGCUCAGUGACGAACCAGAUGUCGGGCUAAGAGGCUUGACUCCGCGACCGCAUAAGAUACCACUAAAGAG
rnacentral:rRNA from 1 species